GACGAACGCUGGCGGCGUGCUUAACACAUGCAAGUCGAACGGAAAGGCCCUUCUUUUGUGGGGUGCUCGAGUGGCGAACGGGUGAGUAACACGUGAGUAACCUGCCCUUGACUUUGGUAUAACUUCAGGAAACUGGGGCUAAUACCGGAUAGGAUCUCCUGCUUCAUGGUGGGGGUUGGAAAGUUUCGGCGGUUGGGGAUGGACUCGCGGCUUAUCAGCUUGUUGGUGGGGUAGUUGCUUACCAAGGCUUUGACGGGUAGCCGGCCUGAGAGGGUGACCGGCAACAUUGGGAAUGAGAUACGGCCCAGACUCCUACGGGAGGCAGCAGUGGGGAAAAUUGCAAAAUGGGCGGAAGCCUGAUGCAGCAACGCCGCGUGCGGGAUGAAGGCCUUCGGGUUGUAAACCGCUUUCGCCUGUGACGAAGCGUGAGUGACGGUAAUGGGUAAAGAAGCACCGGCUAACUACGUG
rnacentral:rRNA from 1 species